CUUCAGUCCCUCUGCAGCUGAUAGACUGGGAAGCCGGAGGUUGCAAUCCAGACUUUUCUUUAUCCUGUAAAGUAGCCCACCUGCAGGAGUGCAUUCAACUGGGUUUCCAUCACUUGCAAUCAAGAGACCUGAUGAAUGCAGCUGUCACAGAGCUGGAGCUUGGGUGUCCUAGGAAGUGUUGAUGGAACUAAACCCUCCCUUGGAAGGACAUGAUGGAAACUCAACAGCCAACUUGACAGUCAGGAACUGCAUAGUCUCCUCUGAAUGAUUUAUGAUUACAUCAGUGAUGAGAGUCUGGGUAAGCCCUAAUCCCCGCUCACUAGGGUGCAAUGUACGUGGCAGGUCCUGGCUCCAUCUUUUAGCAAACAUCGUUCCAGAGAGCUAGAGCCCACACCUAACAAGAAAUGGCCAACUUCAGCCUCUCAGAAUCCAGGCUCUCCAGGGGAAGGAGGGGCUGCUGCAGCACCCGCCCUCCGUCUGUGAUGUCUCCCUCACAUGGGCUGCUUCGGGCUUCCUCCUGCCCGGUUCUGGCUGGGCAGUGAUAAUGAUGGCGUUGCGCUCCGCUCAGGCCUCCUCUGGAGUGCUUGCAGUGACUCCCUUCCCUGAACAGAAAUGUCAGGCUGUGCCUGCUGCAAGGCUUGCCCUUCUACCCACUUCAGUCUGUAGAAAUCCUAUUCCUCUCCAAGGCAUAGGGCCAGUCCCAUCUCCCUCACAAAGCCCCUCCUUAUGCCUUAACCAGAUGCGAUUUUUUUUUUUAAACCCCUUUCCCCAGAAUCACAUCUUGUGAUUGACUUGAAGGUUAGCUCCAAUAGCAGCUCCUAUGAACACAUCCACCCUCCAAGAAGACUUCAUCUCUCUUCCUCCAGGCCUGCAAUAUGCAGUUCCUAGAAUGUAACCAGGAUGAGCUGUGAAAGUGUCAGUUUUUUCUACCAGGGCACCAGAACUCAGGACACCCUGACUUUGCCUAAUCAGUGACCUCCCAGGACUGAGAUGACAACCCGUGUUUUCCAGAAUGAUGGUUGAUGCCUCGUCUGUGUCUCUUCUCUGAAUUUAUCUAACAUGCCUGGGAUUAGAGUCAUGGAAGUAGUUCCAGGAAUACGAUCAAGCCCAGGGCUCCUUGUACCCCCCUGCCCCAGGCACCAGGGACUUCCAUGUCCUCUCCAGCAUUGUUGCUGUUGAAACUCCUCCAACACCAAGAAGUUCAACCUUGGGUAAAUAACCUCUCUUCUCUGAGCCUUAAUUUCCUCCACAAUAGGAUGAAUAAGUUGGUCAAAAUCAUCUCUAAAAUCUCUCUUAGCCUAAAAAUCCUCCCAGCAGGUUCUCACAACAGCAAACCUAUGAAUAAUGGUGAACAAAUUCUCGAAUAGUGGAAGCCGAAGCACUGAAACAGGCAAUUAAAGCAGAAAGGAUCGACUGGGUUGAUGAGGAUGUUGACAAUGAUGAUAAUAUUUAUCAUGAUCAUUUAUUGCGUUGCCAUGUUAGGCAUUUUGUAUAUACUUUCUUGGAUCUUCCCAAUAAACCUUUAAGGGGAGUGUAAAACCCAUUUUAUAGAUGAGGAAACUGAGGUUCAGGGAGCUGAUGUGAUUUUUCCCAGUGUCCUACCAGCAAGUGGCUAAGAACCUGGAGCUGGAUCCCCUGGGUCCCCUCUGGUACUCUUCUGGAACAUUCCAGGCAGGCCCAAGUGGCCAGAGCAAGCCCCGCCUGCCUCCCCACUGCCCUCUGCGGCUGUUUUGCAUCCUGCCAGAUUCCUGAGGUGUCAGGCCUCAUUACAGCCCCGUGCCCCAGUGAGUGUGGAGAGGCAGUUGACAGGUAUACAAUCUGACCGUGGCUCCCUUCAAAUCAUCAAGUUGUCUUCAGGCAGGAACACGCCGGGAAGCCAGGCAGAGGCCCCUGGCUUGGCUGCAUAAUCUGAUGCACAUUAAAAACAUCUUUCGGAUGCCUUUUCUUGUUGCAUGCUCAUUCUCACUCUCUGUUUUGUUUUGAUUUUUGUCCUCCAUCCAACAAAAGCUGAUGAAGUACUCAACUCUCUAGGCUGUCUGGUCCAAGCAGGGUCUCACCAACCGAACAGGUAUUCAGGGACUACUGACCUUCUCCGUGUUUGGCUGGCAUCUGGGUGACAGUGCCUGUGGCACAGGGCCACAUCCUAGCAAGGCUGGACAAGAACCCAUACUCUGCCUGUCUGUCCAAUUCCAGGGAGUGAGUUCAAUUUUACCACGACUCUCAACGGAGAGCCUGGACUAAUAAUAAUCGUUGCCGACAUCGAGUGAAUGCUUGAUUUGGGGGCUGAUCCCCUUUUUAUGUUUGGGGAAUUCUCCACCCCAGGAUGAGAGUAGGGAGAGAGAGUCAGCUUUCCACCAAGAAGGGAAGAAAGCUCUCCUGGGGCCUUUGCAACCAGGAAGUGGACAUGUGACCAGAGCCAGCUAAUCCGAUGCUCCUGUCCAAAACUGGACUCCGGCCAGAAGCCAUGGAAAGUUCCGCUCCACAACUACAAGUGUCCUAGAGUGGCCGGGCCACAGAUGGUAGCAACAGGAGUGGGGUGCCUUGGGUUGCAGGUGGCAAACAGGAAGCCUCAUCCGCGGGUUCCACAGCAUGGCUUGGAUUGUGGUUCUGGGCGCUGACUUCUCUCUUGUUCUGGCUUUGUCUGACCCUGGAUUUCCAGCCUUCCUAGAGACAAUGAGCUGUUAUCUUUCUGCUUAAAGCAGCCAAAGGCCACUUUCGUUGUUAAUAACUAAGACCUCUGGCUAGAACCCCUGUGAUCGCUUGUUUAAUUCUCGUAUCAAUCCUUCAGGUAGCUAUUAGCCUCAUGUUACAGACGAGGAAAUUGAAGCACAGAGGGAUUAAGUAAUAGGAAGUCACACAGUAAAAAAUGGCAGGGACAUGGAUUCAAACCCAAGUCUGUGGACUUCAGAGCCUGGGCUCUUAACUACUUCAAGAAAGAGCUUUGGCCGGACGUGGCGGCUCAUGCCUAUAAUCCCAGCUACUCAGAAGGCUGGGGGAGGAGGA